CCUAAUUUGCAAAUUUGAAGUUCUCUCUAAAGUUUAGACAUAACUGUUAUAAUUUAAAGCUUGCUCUAGAUCUAAACUUGUGGGAUGAAACUUUGAUCUGAAAUCUAAGUUGUUAACGGAUAUGAUAUGGGAAGGCUGAGCUGCUGUUUAUCUGUUCCUAGAGAUGCUAGAAUUCUGGAGAAUUUUAUCUUUGAAAAAUCUUUAAAAUAUUGCAUGACGAGUUCCUGUAUGAUGAAAUUUUAAAUUCCUACCACAGCCAUAUAUACAUGCUUGCUAGACUUUGAGCCACACAUUUAUUAUUUACUGCUUAUGAGCAUUGAGUGUGGUCAAGCUGUGUAGACCCUUAGGAGCUUGUCAUGUGGUUAAAUCAAGAUUCACUUGCACGUUCACUCAUAUAUGCUACUUCUACUCCGGAAGUACCAUCCACAUAUAUCCAUCCAUGUCCAUCUCCAGAACCACCCAAAAAUAUUCUACUCCUAAUCCGGGAGAGAAUAGCCAAAAAAUAUUUCUGUUUUCCCUUGUGAAAUAAAUGCUCAAGUUAUCUUGCUACUACCACUUGCUAUAUUAUCUCAAGAGAUGAGUGCUCUGAAAAGAAAAAAAAUAAAAGAGAAGAAAAGAAGAAAAAAAUAAACGAGGAAAUAAAAAGGGGCAAGUGCCCGGAACCUCGAAAGAAAGAAAAAGUGAGACGAGAGGUAAAAAUGGACAAGUGUCCGACAGUAGAAUUAGGGGUACAAGAUACCCACCUGAGAGGAAAGAAAAAGAAAAGCAUCUCAUUCUCCUCAUAAAGUUUCAAAAAGCAAGGAAGGUAUGUAUCCCCUCAAAAGAGCAAAAGUAGAAUUAGACUUCCACCAUUGUUAUCACCAUCAUCACCAUACACCAUUCAUUCGCCACACAUGCACAUCUUGAUUUGACUUAUUGACUUGUUUCUCUGGAUCCAUGGUUUGACUAUGCAAUAAAGGUCUUGUAAGUAUGUAUUAGCUGUCUCCCACCUAUGAGCUCCAGAUAUUAAAGCCUUAUUAGAGUAGGGUGAGAGAGAAGGCAUAUACCAUCACUGCCUUGUUAAGGAUCCAGAAAUACCACAAAAGAGAUAUUUAGAGAGUUAUACAAGGAAUCUCUGAGUCUUAUUUGAAAAUCUGCAAAAAACUCCAGAGCUAUAGCUGAUCAAGAAUAAGAGACAUGGUACUUGGCUAGACUGUUCUAUCUUUUAACUACUCAAGAC
rnacentral:lncRNA from 1 species